AUAUCAAUAAGCGGAGGAAAAGAAACUAACUAGGAUUCCCUUAGUAACGGCGAGUGAACCGGGAAAAGCUCAAAUUUGUAAUCUGGCUGUCUUCGAUAGUCCGAGUUGUAAUCUAUAGACGUGUUUUCCGUGCUGGACCGUAUCUAAGUCCCUUGGAACAGGGUAUCAAAGAGGGUGACAAUCCCGUGCUUGAUACGACCACCAGUGCUCUGUGAUACACGCUCUACGAGUCGAGUUGUUUGGGAAUGCAGCUCAAAAUGGGUGGUAAAUUCCAUCUAAAGCUAAAUAUUGGCGAGAGACCGAUAGCGAACAAGUACCGUGAGGGAAAGAUGAAAAGCACUUUGGAAAGAGAGUUAAACAGUACGUGAAAUUGUUGAAAGGGAAACGAUUGAAAUCAGUCGUGUUCUUUGGAUUCAGCUAGUUCUUCUAGUCUACUUCCAUUGAACGGGUCAACAUCAGUUUUGUCCGGUGGAUAAAGAUAGUAGGAAUGUAGCUCCCCCGGGAGUGUUAUAGACUAUUAUUGCAUACACUGGGUGAGACUGAGGACUGCAGCUCGCCUUUUGGCCGGUCUUCGGACACGUUCGAGCUUAGGAUGUUGACAUAAUGGCUUUAAACGAC
rnacentral:rRNA from 1 species